rnacentral:rRNA from 1 species
AGCUCCAAUAGCGUAUAUUCAAGUUAUUGCGGUUAAAAAGCUCGUAGUUGGAUUUCUGCCGAGGACGAUUGGUCCGCCCUCUGGGUGGGCAUCUAGUUCGGCCUGGGCAUCUUCUUGGAGAACGUAGCUGCACUUGACUGUGUGGUGCGGUAUCCAGGACUUCUACCUUGAGGAAAUUAGAGUGUUUCAAGCAGGCACACGCCUUGAAUACAUUAGCAUGGAAUAAUAAGGUAGGACCUCGGUUCUAUUUUGUUGACUUCUAGAGCUGAGGUAAUGAUUAAUAGCGAUAGUUGGGGGCAUUCGUAUUUAACUGUCAGAGGUGAAAUUCUUGGAUGUGUUAAAGACGGAUUACUGCGAAAGCAUUUGCCAAGGAUGUUUUCA